rnacentral:rRNA from 1 species
CUACGGAAGGCAGCAGUGAGGAAUAUUGGACAAUGGGCGCAAGCCUGAUCCAGCCAUGCCGCGUGCAGGAUGAAGCAUCUAUGGUGUGUAAACUGCUUUUGUACGAGAAGAAACAUCCCGACGUGUCGGGACUUGACGGUAUCGUAAGAAUAAGGAUCGGCUAACUCCGUGCCAGCAGCCGCGGUAAUACGGAGGAUCCAAGCGUUAUCCGGAAUCAUUGGGUUUAAAGGGUCCGUAGGCGGGCUUGUAAGUCAGUGGUGAAAUCUCUCGGCUCAACCGGGAAAUGGCCAUUGAUACUGCAGGUCUUGAAUUAUUAGGAAGUAACUAGAAUAUGUAGUGUAGCGGUGAAAUGCUUAGAGAUUACAUGGAAUACCAAUUGCGAAGGCAGGUUACUACUAAUUGAUUGACGCUGAUGGACGAAAGCGUGGGUAGCGAACAGGAUUAGAUACCCCCGUAGUCC